GCCUGCAUGGCUCAGUGGUUGAGCAUCAGCCUAUGAACCAGAAGGUCACGGUUCAAUUCCGGGACAGGGCA
rnacentral:tRNA from 1 species